CACCGGCAGCUCAAGUGGUAGCCAUUUUUAUUGGGCCUAAAGCGUUCGUAGCCGGUUUGAUAAGUCUCUGGUGAAAUCCCACAGCUUAACUGUAGGAAUUGCUGGAGAUACUAUUAGACUUGAGGUUGGGAGAGGUUAGCGGUACUCCCAGGGUAGGGGUGAAAUCCUGUAAUCCUGGGAGGACCACCUGUGGCGAAGGCGGCUAACUGGAACAAACCUGACGGUGAGGGACGAAAGCCAGGGGCGCGAACCGG
rnacentral:rRNA from 1 species